GACAGAGGGUGCGAACGUUGCUCGGAAUUACUGGGCGUAAAGCGCGUGUAGGCGGCAGCGUAAGUCGGGCGUGAAAUCCCACGGCUCAACCGUGGAAGUGCACUCGAAACUGCGCAGCUAGAGUCCUGGAGAGGAAGGUGGAAUGCUUGGUGUAGAGGUGAAAUUCGUAGAUAUCAAGCGGAACACCGGUGGCGAAGGCGGCCUUCUGGACAGUGACUGACGCUGAGACGCGAAAGCGUGGGGAGCAAACAGG
rnacentral:rRNA from 1 species